rnacentral:lncRNA from 1 species
AUAUUAUCAUGGAUUGGAAAAGAGUUGAGCAUGACAAGUGCGAGAGUGGCCACUUCAAAAGCCAAAUGCCACAAACCAACCACCAUAUUUUUUAAAAUUCACAAUUUUUCUUUAUUUGGAAAAGAGAUGAAAUAAUUGUUUUCAGAUAAAAGAUGCAAUUUCACACUUCUUUCAAUGCAAGAAGCAUGGUUACAACAUUUGAAACUGGAUCUCAGUCAUGAUAAACUUUAUUAUUUGCAAGGUAUAUUAAGAUCCAGUGACACAUAAAUUUUUUCAGUACAAACUGGGGCAAAAAUUUUAUUUGUGUUGUAUGGAAUUUAUUUUAUGUUCAGGACCCUCCUGAAGAAUGGGACAGGACCCUCCUGAAGAAUGGGACAGGACCUUCCUGAAGAAUGGGAAUUUAUUUUUAUGCUCAGGACCCUCCUGAAGAAUGAAAAUUUAUUUUUAUGCUCAGGAUCCUCCUGAAAAUGAGAAUUUAUUUUAUUUUCAAGACCCUCCUGAAGAAUGUGACAGGACCCUCCUGAAGAAUGGGACAGGACCCUCCUGAAGAAUGAGAAUUUAUUUUUAUGCUCAGGACCCUCCUGAAGAAUGGAAAUUUAUUUUAUAUCCAGGACCCUCCUGAAGAAUGGGAUGUUAUUUUUCUAUUUCACUAUUUGCUUUGAGUCCAGGAGCUCGCCUGAAGAACAGGGUGAAGAAAUUGCAAGUCCAGGAGCCCACCUGAAGAACAGGGUGAAGAAAUAGCCCUCCUGAAGAACAGGGUGAAGAAAUGAG